AGUGAACGCUGGCGGUAGGCCUAACACAUGCAAGUCGAACGGCAGCACCGUAAGAGCUUGCUCUUACGGGUGGCGAGUGGCGGACGGGUGAGGAAUACAUCGGAAUCUACUUUUUCGUGGGGGAUAACGUAGGGAAACUUACGCUAAUACCGCAUCCGACCUACGGGUGAAAGCAGGGGAUCUUCGGACCUUGCGCGAUUGAAUGAGCCGAUGUGGGAUUAGCUAGUUGGCGGGGUAAAGGCCCACCAAGGCGACGAUCCGUAGCUGGUCUGAGAGGAUGAUCAGCCACACUGGAACGGAGACACGGUCCAGAGUCCUACGGGAGGCAGCAGUGGGGAAUAUUAGACAAUGGGCGCAAGCCUGAUACAGCCAUACCGCGUGGGUGAAGAAGGCCUUCGGGUUGUAAAGCCCUUUUGUUGGGAAAGAAAAGCAGCAGGUUAAUACCCCGCUGUUCUGACGGUACCCAAAGAAUAAGCACCGGCUAACUUCGUG
rnacentral:rRNA from 1 species